UACGGAGGGUGCAAGCGUUAUCCGGAUUUACUGGGUUUAAAGGGAGCGCAGGCGGAUUGGUAAGUCAGUGGUGAAAUACCCGUGCUUAACAUGGGAACUGCCAUUGAUACUAUCAGUCUUGAAUGUUGUUGAGGUUUGCGGAAUAGGUCAUGUAGCGGUGAAAUGCAUAGAUAUGACCCGGAACACCUAUUGCGAAGGCAGCAGGCUAAACAAAUAUUGACGCUGAGGCUCGAAAGCGUGGGGAUCAAACAGG
rnacentral:rRNA from 1 species